rnacentral:rRNA from 1 species
AGCAGCCGCGGUAAUUCCAGCUCCAAUAGCGUAUAUUAAAGUUGUUGCAGUUAAAAGCUCGUAGUUGAACCUUAGGCCCGUGCGGGCGGUCCGUCCUCAGGGCGAGCACUGCUCCGUCGCGGGUCUCACCUUCUGGCGCGCGUGGAUGCCAUUUAUUUGGUGUCCGCGGGAACCAGGACCUUUACCUUGAAAAAUUAGAGUGCUCAAAGCGGGCUCCGACGCUUGAAUACAUUAGCAUGGAAUAAUGAAAUAGGACGAAGGUUCUAUUUUGUUGGUUUCCGGGACCUUUGUAAUGAUUAAUAGGGAUAGUUGGGGGCAUUCGUAUUCAAUUGUCAGAGGUGAAAUUCUUGGAUUUAUUGAAGACGAACUACUGCGAAAGCAUUUGCCAAGGAUGUUUUCAUUAAUCAAAG